rnacentral:rRNA from 1 species
CCUACGGGCGGCAGCAGUGGGGAAUAUUGCGCAAUGGGCGAAAGCCUGACGCAGCGACGCCGCGUGAGGGAUGAAGGUCUUCGGAUCGUAAACCUCUGUCAGCAGGGAAGAACGGUCACUGUGCUAAUCAGCAGUGAAUUGACGGUACCUGCAAAGGAAGCACCGGCGAACUCCGUGCCAGCAGCCGCGGUAAUACGGAGGGUGCGAGCGUUAAUCGGAAUUACUGGGCGUAAAGCGCUCGUAGGCGGUAUGUCAAGUCAAGGGUGAAAUCCCCGCGCUCAACGUGGGAACUGCCUUUGAAACUGGCAGACUGGAGUGUGUGAGAGGAUAGUGGAAUUCGAGGUGUAGGAGUGAAAUCCGUAGAUAUCUGGAGGAACAUCAGUGGCGAAGGCGACUAUCUGGCACAUAACUGACGCUGAGGAGCGAAAGCGUGGGUAGCAAACAGGAUUAGAUACCCCAGUAGUC